rnacentral:lncRNA from 1 species
CAUUAAAUACAUGUGCGCUAGGAUCAAGUUACACACAUGUACAACAAUAGUGAAUAACAAAGACAGUGCUAAAGCGAAUAGAGAGAGUAUUAAACAUUAUUACAUGACCGAAAGUCUCAAUAAAACAUAAGCCUAAUUUAUUACGCAGCGGAACUCCAAAGAUGACGACGACUCCACAGGCAGCUGACUGAAGAAACGUACACCUAGAACUCCUCAAAGUCGUGUAGAUACUCCUC